AAUUCGAGCCCAAGCUUAAAACCCAAAGGACUUGACGGUGUUCCACCCACCUAGAGGAGCCUGUUCUAUAAUCGAUUUUCCCCGAUCAACCCCACCAUCUUUUGAAUACUCAGCCUGUAUACCUCCGUCGCAAGCUUACCCUAUGAACGCACUUAGUGAGCCUAAUGAUUUAACACCCACACGUCAGGUCAAGGUGCAGCCCACAAGAUGGAGAGAAAUGGGCUACAAUUUCUACCCUAGAACAAACGAAAGACUGCAUGAAACACAGUCACUGAAGGCGGAUUUAGUAGUAAAAAGAAAAUAGAGAGUUCUUUUUAAUCAGGCACUGGAACGCGUACACACCGCCCGUCACCCUCUUCAAACACAAAUAUUAUGUUAUUAACACCACACACCCAGACAGAAGAGGUAAGUCGUAACACGGUAAGCGUACUGGAAAGUGCGCUUGGAACAACAAAAUGUAACUUAAUAAAAGUAUCUUGCUUACACCAAGAAUAUGUCCGUGAAACCCCGACCAUCUUGAGCUCAAAACUCAGCCCCACUAAACUCAAUGAAACCACAUUCUUACCCCCCACAAAUUAAAACAUUUUUUUACUUAGUAAAGGCGAUUAAAAAGUACUUGGGAGCCCCAAUAUUAGUACCGCAAGGG
rnacentral:rRNA from 1 species